UACGGUCAUAGAGUCGAGAAAACACCGCAUCCCGUCAGAUUUGCGCAGUUAAGCUCGACAUCGCUUGGUUAGUAUACAGGUCGGGGACGACUUGAGAAUCCCGAGUGCUGUGGU